UACAGGGGUGGCAAGCGUUACUCGGAAUUAUUGGGUGUAAAGGGCAGGUAGGUGGCUUAGCAAGUGAGGGGUGAAAUCCCACGGUUCAAUCGUGGAACUGCCUUUCAAACUGCUGAGCUUGAGAAUGUUAGGGGAGAAUGGAAUUCCCGGUGUAAGGGUGAAAUCUGUAGAUAUCGGGAAGAACACCAACAGCGAAGGCAAUUCUCUGGGACAUUUCUGACACUAAACUGCGAAAGCUAGGGGAGCAAACAGAAUUAGAUACUCUGGUAGUCCUAGCCGUAAACGAUGAAUACUAGGUGUUGGCCCCUUCGGGGGUCGGUGCCGAAGCUAACGCAUUAAGUAUUCCACCUGGGGACUACGAUCGCAAGGUUAAA
rnacentral:rRNA from 1 species